rnacentral:rRNA from 1 species
AUUGAACGCUGGCGGCAGGCCUAACACAUGCAAGUCGAGCGCGCCGCGGGCGGGAGAGAAAUGUAGGGGGACUGCCCGAUAGAGGGGGAUAACUAGUGGAAACGGUGGCUAAUACCGCAUACUUGCGGCUAACCCAUAUGGGUUUAGCUAGUAGGUGGGGUAAAGGCUCACCUAGGCGACGAGCUCUAGCUGGUCUGAGAGGAUGAUCAGCCACACUGGGACUGAGACACGGCCCAGACUCCUACGGAGGCAGCAGUGGGGAAUAUUGCACAAUGGGCGCAAGCCUGAUGCAGCCAUGCCGCGUGUAUGAAGAAGGCCUUAGGGUUGUAAAGUACUUUCAGCGGGGAGGCGUUACCCGCAGAAGAAGCACCGGCUAACUCCGUGCCAGCCGCCGCGGUAAUUC